UUUGAACGCUGGCGGCAGGCUUAACACAUGCAAGUCGAGCGGGGUGAUGUAGCUUGCUACAUUACCUAGCGGCGGACGGGUGAGUAAUGCUUAGGAAUCUGCCUAUUAGUGGGGGACAACAUUCCGAAAGGAAUGCUAAUACCGCAUACGCCCUACGGGGGAAAGCAGGGGAUCUUCGGACCUUGCGCUAAUAGAUGAGCCUAAGUCAGAUUAGCUAGUUGGUGGGGUAAAGGCCUACCAAGGCGACGAUCUGUAGCGGGUCGGAGAGGAUGAUCCGCCACACUGGGACUGAGACACGGCCCAGACUCCUACGGGAGGCAGCAGUGGGGAAUAUUGGACAAUGGGCGAAAGCCUGAUCCAGCCAUGCCGCGUGUGUGAAGAAGGCCUUUUGGUUGUAAAGCACUUUAAGCGAGGAGGAGGCUACUUAGAUUAAUACUCUAGGAUAGUGGACGUUACUCGCAGAAUAAGCACCGGCUAACUCUGUGCCAGCCGCCGCCGUAAGAC
rnacentral:rRNA from 1 species